rnacentral:misc_RNA from 1 species
GAUGAAGAACGCAGUGAAAUGCGAUAAGUAAUGUGAAUUGCAGAAUUCCGUGAAUCAUCGAAUCUUUGAACGCACAUUGCGCCCCCUGGCAUUCCGGGGGGCAUGCCUGUCCGAGCGUCAUUUCUGCCCUCAAGCCCGGCUUGUGUGUUGGGCGUGGUCCCCCCGGUUUAGGGGGGACCUGCCCGAAAGGCAGCGGCGACGUUCCGCCUAGGUCCUCGAGCGUAUGGGGCUUUGUCACCCGCUCGGGAGGGGCCUACGGGCGUUGGCCAUCCACCAUUUUUUUUUUUACGGUUGACCUCGGAUCAGGUAGGAGUUACCCGCUGAACUUAAGCAUAUCAAUAAGCGGAGGA